rnacentral:rRNA from 1 species
CCUACGGGAGGCAGCAGUGAGGAAUAUUGGUCAAUGGACGAGAGUCUGAACCAGCCAAGUAGCGUGAAGGAUGACUGCCCUAUGGGUUGUAAACUUCUUUUAUAUGGGAAUAAAAUGUUCCACGUGUGGGAUUUUGUAUGUACCAUAUGAAUAAGGAUCGGCUAACUCCGUGCCAGCAGCCGCGGUAAUACGGAGGAUCCGAGCGUUAUCCGGAUUUAUUGGGUUUAAAGGGUGCGUAGGUGGAUUGUUAAGUCAGUUGUGAAAGUUUGCGGCUCAACCGUAAAAUUGCAGUUGAAACUGGCAGUCUUGAGUACAGUAGAGGUAGGCGGAAUGCGUGGUGUAGCGGUGAAAUGCUUAGAGAUCACGAAGAACUCCGAUUGCGAAGGCAGUUCACUGGACUGCAACUGACACUGAGGCUCGAAAGUGUGGGUAUCAAACAGGAUUAGAUACCCGAGUAGUC